ensembl:lncRNA
CAGAGACGUGACAGGAUCAAGGAUUGGCAGAAAUAUGCUUUUACAUGGUGUACCACGAUGAAUCAGGGUGCAGUGGAUGACAGAGAACGUGUGACAAAGAUCCAAAGUCGGACGCCAACCUAAGACAUGAAGAGCUCCUAACGGAAAGGCUGGAACAAAUACUCAUGUCACUUCAGUUCAUGGAGAUCCCAAUUGUUUUUAGCCAAUGUGCAACUGUAAGAGGUCUAUGGGUUGUCUGUGUCACUCAGCAUGGCUUCGUGUACACCAAUGCCACAUCGUUUCACACCGCUCACCAUACUGCACAUUUACUGACUCAUGCUGUACAUGUAUAGCAUUAUUUCUGUCAUUUUCCAUCUGAAUGUCACUACAUGUCAUUCAGUCCAAACUGGACCAUCAACAAUCAGUACAAUAUGGCUCACCAGGAGGCCCCUUACAGACCUGUUUCAUAAUUUGUGCUGCUGUGUCUAUUGUAUGUGCCUCCUUUGAUAAAUUUACCUCCAACUGAUGCAAUGCGUCAGUCUUUUUGUUGGAGGAGGACAAUUGCUUGUACAGCUAAGGUCCAAGACCUUAAUGAAGUACUAAAGCGCGCACACACUAGCUACAGGGCGCAAAGGUUGGUUUCUGCUCUUAACAUCAGAUGACAGCUAAUGGAGCAGACAACACUGUGAAAGGACGAGGACCAAAGUUCAUCUCGUGAUAUUAUUUUAUUGUUCAGUGCUGUAUGUGGAAGUCAGUAAAGCAUAAAAUUAUUUUUGAAAAACUGUUAAACAGUCAGAGAUUAACUGAAGCAAAGAGUAAUUUGUGGUUGACACAACUGAACUGCAUUUUAUUUCCUUACUUUUUAAAAUGUCC